rfam:Myotis lucifugus cont2.44764, whole genome shotgun sequence.
AGUGGUUCUCUGGUGACACACCCCGGAAUCAGGCUCCCUCCUUUCUGGUUCUGGGUGCAUCACCCGAAAAGCACA